GACAGAGGGGGCAAGCGUUGCUCGGAAUUACUGGGCGUAAAGGGCUCGUAGGCGGCCAACUAAGUCAGACGUGAAAUCCCUCGGCUUAACCGGGGAACUGCGUCUGAUACUGGAUGGCUUGAGAUUGGGAGAGGGAUGCGGAAUUCCAGGUGUAGCGGUGAAAUGCGUAGAUAUCUGGAGGAACACCGGUGGCGAAGGCGACAUCCUGGACCAACACUGACGCUGAGGAGCGAAAGCCAGGGGAGCAAACGGG
rnacentral:rRNA from 1 species